GCUUUUCUCAUGCAGAACAGUAAUACAAAUUGCUCAAAGGGAACUAGAAACAGGAAGUGCUUCAAGCAAAAGAUAUCAAUCAGCUUGCUAUCAUAUAUACAUCCUGGUCGCUUAGACUGGACAAUAUGUGUUAUGAUCUCUAGAAUAUGGGAAUACAGAGAAAAGAAUGAUGAAGAUCCCAUCAAACAUUUGGAUCUCAUGAUAAUCGAUGAAAAGGAAAGCUCCCACAACUUCACUAAUUUGCAUAUUGACGAUGACAGUAUGGAAAUAGAACAGACACAG